rnacentral:rRNA from 1 species
CAGUAGCCGCGGUAAUACGUAGGGUGCAAGCGUUAAUCGGAAUUACUGGGCGUAAAGCGUGCGCAGGCGGUUUUGUAAGACAGAGGUGAAAUCCCCGGGCUCAACCUGGGAACUGCCUUUGUGACUGCAAGGCUAGAGUACGGCAGAGGGGGAUGGAAUUCCGCGUGUAGCAGUGAAAUGCGUAGAUAUGCGGAGGAACACCGAUGGCGAAGGCAAUCCCCUGGGCCUGUACUGACGCUCAUGCAAGAAAGCGUGGGGAGCAAACAGGAUUAGAUACCCGCGUAGUCCCUGUCUCUUAUCA